rnacentral:rRNA from 1 species
UACGUAGGCAGCGAGCGUUGUUCGGAAUUAUUGGGCGUAAAGAGUGUGUAGGCGGUGCUCCAAGUCUGUUGUGAAAUCUCCCGGGCUUAACUGGGAGGGUGCGGCGGAAACUGGAAUGCUAGAGGGUGGGAGAGGUAAGCGGAAUUCCUGGUGUAGCGGUGAAAUGCGUAGAUAUCAGGAGGAACACCGUGUGGUGUAGACAGCUUACUGGACCACUUCUGACGCUGAGACACGAAAGCGUGGGUAGCAAACAGG